GACGAAGGUGGCGAGCGUUGUUCGGAAUCACUGGGCAUAAAGCGCACGUAGGCGGUGUCAUAAGUCGGGUGUGAAAUCCCUCGGCCUAACCGAGGAACUGCGCCCGAUACUGUGAUGCUUGAGGACCAGAGGGUGCAUGGAAUUUCCGGUGGAGCGGUGAAAUGCGUUGAUAUCGGAAGGAACUCCGGCGGCGAAAGCGAUGCACUGGCUGGUUUCUGACGGCUGAGGUGCGAAAGCCCAGGGAGCAACGGG
rnacentral:rRNA from 1 species